AGUGAACGCUGGCGGUAGGCCUAACACAUGCAAGUCGAACGGCAGCACAGGAGAGCUUGCUCUCUGGGUGGCGAGUGGCGGACGGGUGAGGAAUACAUCGGAAUCUACUCUAUCGUGGGGGAUAACGUAGGGAAACUUACGCUAAUACCGCAUACGACCUACGGGUGAAAGCAGGGGACCUUCGGGCCUUGCGCGAUUGAAUGAGCCGAUGUCGGAUUAGCUAGUUGGCGGGGUAAAGGCCCACCAAGGCGACGAUCCGUAGCUGGUCUGAGAGGAUGAUCAGCCACACUGGAACUGAGACGCGGUCCAGACUCCUACGGGAGGCAGCAGUGGGGAAUAUUGGACAAUGGGCGCAAGCCUGAUCCAGCCAUACCGCGUGGGUGAAGAAGGCCUUCGGGUUGUAAAGCCCUUUUGUUGGGAAAGAAAUCCAGCUGGCUAAUACCCGGUUGGGAUGACGGUACCCAAAGAAUAAGCACCGGCUAACUUCGUGCCAGCCGCCGUAACAC
rnacentral:rRNA from 1 species